rnacentral:rRNA from 1 species
CCUACGGGAGGCAGCAGUGAGGAAUAUUGGUCAAUGGACGAGAGUCUGAACCAGCCAAGUAGCGUGAAGGAUGACUGCCCUAUGGGUUGUAAACUUCUUUUAUAUGGGAAUAAAAUGUUCCACGUGUGGGAUUUUGUAUGUACCAUAUGAAUAAGGAUCGGCUAACUCCGUGCCAGCAGCCUCGGUAAUACGGAGGAUCCGAGCGUUAUCCGGAUUUAUUGGGUUUAAAGGGCGCGUAGGUGGAUUGUUAAGUCAGUUGUGAAAGUUUGCGGCUCAACCGUAAAAUUGCAGUUGAAACUGGCAGUCUUGAGUACAGUAGAGGUGGGCGGAAUUCGUGGUGUAGCGGUGAAAUGCUUAGAUAUCACGAAGAACUCCGAUUGCGAAGGCAGUUCACUGGACUGCAACUGACACUGAGGCUCGAAAGUGUGGGUAUCAAACAGGAUUAGAUACCCGUGUAGUC